AGCAGAAGGCAAAGUGUUUACUCUUUUACUACCCAUCAAACCAGAUGGUAGAUGAAUAUGAUAUGCUUAUUCAAUUGCACUCAUGUGUACAGUGGAAAGCUUGCCAGUACCUUCGUUCCCUCCAGUGUUUGACUGAGUCCCUACUGCAGCCACUGGGCAAGUAUGUGGCAUCUGUAGCCACAUCAUUCUUAGCACAUUGGGCUGGAAUGUCUGCCUGUUGCUUCACAUCUACAGCCUCUAGAUCAUGUAGGGUGGAGGUGAGAAUUGAGCCCUCCCUUUCCCCCCAACACACGCGUAUUCACACACACACAAGCACACACACAUAUUCACAAAUACACAAAUGUGCAUACACACUUCUACACACAAACACUACAAACAUGUACAUACUCCCCUCUCCCUCAACCUCCUCCCACUGGUUGAGGAAUUGGGCCAGAAGAGAAGAUAAGGAAACUUUUAUCUGCUUUUAAUCACAGCAUUCUGUACAAUAAUUAUUCUGUAGGAUUUUUCAAUGUCUCACUGAAAUUGUUCUAAGUUUUACUGAUAACAAUAGUUUAACACUAUACAAAUAGAUACGGUUUUUAUGGUUUGCAGCCUCUGGAACAUGGUCAUUUGUCCACAUUUAAAGAGUUUGAGGCAGCAAUAUCCUUCAAGGUUUUUUUAUGUUAUUAGUUUGCUUCUGAAACACAUCUGCUCAAUCCUGCUGUGGUACAUAUCGCCCCAGCUCCACCCAGGUUAUGAAUGUCAGUGCUGAGUUCUGCCUUGAGAUAUGAAUUCAGUUUGUCUGGCAACAGUUCUGAUUAUAGUGUGUUUUGUGCAAUGAGUCACCAAGCUCAGCAUCUCCCCACAAUGGGGGGUUCUGUGUGGGGCUGACUGCUUUCCUGACCAGCCUUGAUCACUUCUGAGUGCUGUAAGCUUGGAAUUACUGUGAUACUCUGCUGUUCGCUCCUCCAGCUACUUGGCCAUAGUAGUGCCUCUCUUUCAGGACUCUUGUGACAAAAACCCAGAGCGUGCCCAUGUUCAGUCAUUGACCUUCCAGUAUGGCUGUUUUUGCCACAGAGAAGAGAAAUUCUGACUAGCUAUAGAAGCCCCCCCCUUCCUUCCUCCCUUCAUGUGCACACGCGCACGCGCGCGCGCACACACACACACACACACACACACAUACAGACACACACUCAAUUAAGUCAAGCUGUUUUUUCCAGUUAAAUAAACAUCACACCCUUGAAAGGAAGAACAAAUAGCGGGACUAUCCCCAAAGAAAACGUGCCUCUGGGCUUCUGGUUUUGAAGGUUUUGUAAUGUUUACUUUUCAGCGUUCUCUACUUGACUGCUUCCCUCUUUCAUUUGAUUUUAAAUACCAUGGUUUGAAUUAGCUAUCCUUGUGCCCUGACCCUGGGUAAGGGGUUGUUUUGACAGACAUGUGGCUCCCCAGCCCCUCCCUCCUUCAGAAGUGAGAGUGGUAGAGCUUGUAUCCAGAACCUGGAGAUACAGAAGCACAGCUGUUGUGUGGGUGCGUGUAGCACGGGGAUCUCAGCCACUGACACCCUCAAGACAUGUGUGGACUGUGACUCAAUCCAGGGUGUCAGGAAUACCUAUCCUGUAAUAUCGGAGACAACAUUCAAGGACCCCUCUGCUCAGGAAGGAAGAGGUGCUCCUGGAUGCUUGUCCAUUGCAGCCCAAACAGAAGGAACUUCUCAGAAAGGUCACUAAGAAGUCUCAACUUGGUUGUUGGGCUCGUCAUCUGAUGUACUCACAUGUAUUGUCAUCCUUCUUUCUGGAAUAUUCAUAUUUACCUCAUGAUACUCUCUCUUCAUCCCUGCAAGGACCUGCAAAGUGCCUAUGUGCUGUAUGCACAGAACUGCAGAGGCCAGGCUCCUUGUGCAGAGCUGGAUGAAAAUCUAGGCCUCUGACUCCCACCUAGUGGGAUCUUGAGGCCCCUAAAUGGGCAGAGUUGAUAUCUCUGGCUGCAGAAAGCAGGAUGGAGAAGAUGGCCUGUUCAGGGGACCCUGCCAAUUCUAGCAUUUCUUAUUUUGUCUACUGUAGGAGACCUAUCAGGCAUGGUGCCUGCUAUAAGCAGUGUCACCCCUCCUCCCUGCUCUAACCCUGCUUGGGAAGGAAGCAGUUCCAGGCUAGGUUGGUGUGUGUGUUUACCUGACCCAGAGGCUGGCUUUGAGGUUCUGCCCAGAAGAGCAGGGGCAGGCGGCCACACCAAGCAGUCUAGGCCCGAAUCAUCUAAGCUGGGGAGACGGUAGGACUGGCCAGCUGGUGGGAAACAGGCAGACCUGGACAGAGCAGCAGAAGCUGUGAGGCCAUGAGGGCAAAUGGGUGUCCACCUUGUACUUCCUUGUCCUCUGUUCCAGGUUCAGGCUCCUUGGAGCCUUGCAGGCAAGGACCUCCUUCCUCUCGGGGUGGCUGACUGUGGCUUGGCCACCCACAGUUGCAUCCCUUGCUCAAAAUUAUGUAGCAGGGUGGGGGAAAGAUGGGAUGUUCCCAGCUUUCAACUCCCCGCUCCAGCCUUGGUCCUUAUGUUCUCUGAUCAUGUCAGUGGAAAGGUUUUGGGCUUACACUCUCAAUUGUGAGUUAUUUAUUUUAUUUAAUCUAUUGUACAACUAAGUUAAUAUAAUUUGUAUAUUAAAAAUAUACACAAAAUAAAGAUCAAAGUGAUAUACAAGUAAUAUUUUGAGUUAACAUUUGUUUAUUACUUAUUAAAGAGUCCAAAAAUCAUUUUCUCUCAGUGGGGAAAAAUAUUUACAUAUUCUCUAUUUUCUUUUAACAUCUUGGCUCAACUCUGAGUGAUGUAGUGAUUCUAAGGCCUGUGAUAAACCCAGUUUAUUUAGAUACAUGGAUUAAUGGCUGCUGCCGCUAAAGAAGAUACACUGGGUCCAAGUGGAAGCUGCCCAUACGAGGUGGCACAUUCUAGGCCUUCACUGAGUGUCAUUACUCAUUUUUCAGUUGUAUCUACUGAUUAUGCAAAGUUCUUUAUUAAAACUUAGUAACUACAUUUCUACCUUUCUUGCAUUAAUCAGUGAAGUUCUUAAAAUGAAUUGGAUUGCCUUUAUAUAUGCAUUGUUUGGAGAUUUAAAAAACAUUUUGGAAAGGUCUGUUUUUAAGGAUUUUUUGGUAUCAGCUUUAUUGAGAUAUAAUUCACAUACCAUAUAAUUUACCCAUGUGAAGUGCCCAAUUUAAUGGCUUUUGUAUAUCCACAGAGUUGUGCAUCUAUCACCACAGUCGAUUUUAGAACAUUUUCAUCACCAUAAAAAGAAAUGCUAACCCCGUUACAGUCCCCCCUCAUUUUUCCCUUCCCUUUAGCUCUAGACAACCACUAACCUACUUUCUAUCCCUAUGGACUGCCUUCCCUGGACAUUCCAUAUAAAUGGAAUCAUUCAGUGUGUGGUCUUUUGUGACUAGUUUCUUUCACUCAGCAUAUUAUUUUCAAGGUUCAUCAAUGUCAUGGCAUGUGUCAGUACUUCAUUCCUUUGU